rnacentral:rRNA from 1 species
GAUGAACGCUGGCGGCGUGCCUAAUACAUGCAAGUCGAGCGAACAGACGAGGAGCUUGCUCCUCUGACGUUAGCGGCGGACGGGUGAGUAACACGUGGAUAACCUACCUAUAAGACUGGGAUAACUUCGGGAAACCGGAGCUAAUACCGGAUAAUAUAUUGAACCGCAUGGUUCAAUAGUGAAAGACGGUUUUGCUGUCACUGAUAGAUGGAUCCGCGCCGCAUUAGCUAGUUUGUAAGGUAACGGCUUCCCAAGGCCACGAUGCGUAGCCGCUCUGAGAGGGUGAUCGGCCACACUGGAACUGAGACACGGUCCAGACUCCUACGGUAGGCCGCAGUAGGGAAUCUUCCGCAAUGGGCGAAAGCGUGACGGAGCAACGCCGCGUGAGUGAUGAAGGUCUUCGGAUCGUAGAACUCUGUUAUUAGGGAAGAACAAAUGUGUAAGUAACUAUGCACGUCUUGACGGUACCUAAUCAGAAAGCCACGGCUAACUACGUG